GGGGAAAUUGGUCACUCUAUUUCUUUUCUGAAAGAGUUGCAGUUUUGUCUGUGCAAAUAAAAGGGUUGCAGGUGGAGAUGGAAGCACUUGGGAGACAAGGAGCACUGGAAAGAGAGAACAAAAAGUCUCAGAGCUAGCGACUGAGCAAGAGAAUGGCAGUUUCCUGCAGGAGAAGAGAGGGAAAGGAAUUGGGCAGGAUGGAGGUCAGUUCAGAGAAAACCUGAAAAAUUGAGAGGACAUUGUGAUGAAAUAGCGUUCUUGAGAAAAAGGCUCAAGCUUGAACCAACUUCACCACCAGAGUUAGAGCAGGGGCUGCCUGAGGUUGUGAGAUCAUCAUUAGCCUUUCCAGUAGUUAAACAGCAUAUGGCUUCUAAUGGUGUGGAUUAUUAAAAGCUUAUUAUAAGAUAGGAUGGUGUCCCAGCAAAAUGGUAGCUCUAAGGCUGUUUAAAGAGGCCACGACCUCAUACAAGAUGCACUUGCCUUAUCUGAAACAAAUUCUAAACAACUGGGCUACUCAAGAUAGAAUUAUUCCCUAAGACUGUAAGGGAUAAGUAAGCUAUACUAAAGGCCAUUCCCCAAUUGCAAUGGGUAACAUAGUGGAGGGAAGGAGCUACAAAUAUUGAACAGCAAAGUAAAGUAAGGGGAAUGAAUAUAGAAAAAGACCAGUUGAUGGAAGUAGGAUGACACUCUGAUAUACAAGGACAGAUUUAAUUUGAUGAUGCUACUAUAGGACAGUAUUACUUAAUAGUUUUAAGUGCUUGGGACAAAGUGUAGGACUCCAGGAAAAAGCACCACAUUUACACAGAUCACACAAGGCUACAGAGAGGCCUUCUCUGAUUUUUUUUUUUUUUACAAAGAUUAGUUUCAGCUGUGAACAAAGCCAAAUCAGAUCCCUACACAAGGCAGGCGUGAAUAGAGGUGUGGCAUUUGAAAAUUCUAAUACUGAAUGUAAAAAAUUCACUAGACCAUUAAAGCAGCAGGUACUGCCCAUGGAUGAUUAGAUAAGGGAUAAAACAAAUAUUGUUUCUAUAAUGUAUCAUGCUAAUAUAGUAGGUCAUGCAAUAGUUAGAGAUCUCACAUUUCAAAAUGCCUGCUGCUUUAAUUGUUGAAAAUACGGUAAUUUGAAACAAAAUUGCAAAUUAGACGUCUCUACAAGCAAUGGUUUUUCUAAAUAUAACCACAAGGAAGGCCUAGGUUUCCAGGCCUGUCUAGGUGAUGUGGCAGUGAUGCCAUUGGACCAAUGAGUAUAGGUCCAAAAGAGAUAUUCAAGGUAAUUUCUUACUGUCAGGAUAUAUCCUAAGGGGCAUGGCUUGAGGCCCCACCACAAAAAUUAUAAGUCAGUUCAGUAAAGGAGUAACAAGAAGAGCAAAAAAACUCCACUCAGCCUUGGAGAUUUAAUGCACACUACUACAGGUAGCAGAGCUCCAGACAUAGCCAUAGCCAUUUUACUGUAUCCCCGAAAAUUCAAUGUUAUAAAAACAGCUACUGGAGUUCAUGAUCUUAGUAAGGAGUGGAUUAACUUCCCAAGGACCCAUUGUGGGUUCAGGAAGAAGAUUUCAAAGGAGAAAUUAAAAGCACAGCACACAUAAAAAGAGAGAUGCAAUUUAAUGCAGGCGAUAUGGCUGCUCGGCUGCUAAUGUUUCUUUGCACCGAGGGAAAAGCUGUUCGUGUUGAAAUGAUAGAAAGGUUUGAAUGCACUGGAAAAUGCGUGUUCUGGCAAACAGUUAUUAAUGAUCGGAGACCUCAAGUAAAAUUACAAGCAAAUGGUAUUGAAAUAGAAAAAUUUGGUGGGUAUGGGAGCUGAUGUAAGUAUCAUUUCACAAAAUUCUUGGAAUUCAGAAUGGCCAUUUCGAAGGGGCUGUACAUAGAUUUUAGGAAUUGAAAAGUUACCUUAGAUAAAACGAAGUGUGGGACGCGGUUAAAUGUGUGCAACUGACUGCAUGGUCAAAUAGGAAAGUUAAUGCCCUGUGCAGCUGAUAGGCCCAUAAAUUUUAUGGUGAAGGGAUCCUUUAUUACAGUGGUUUACUCAGAUUAAUAUUCCUGCCAUUCAAAGACAGCACACGAUGAAACAAAGAGUGAGAUGGUGGUGAUAUAUGUCAUCAAAAACAAACCCAGGCUGUGCCAAUUGUCCAAACACAGGACAUAACUGACACUGAAUUUCUGAACUUAUAAGGGAGAGGGGCACUUUUGAAAUACCAAUGGCUCUACCCUUAAAAUGUUUUACUGACAAGCCUGUGUGGGUAGAUUUAUUGCCCAUAACUAAAGAAAAAUUACAAGCACUUGAGCAGGUGGUACAAGAGCAGCUGGAGGCUCAACACAGAAUUCCUCUGUAUUUGUUAUUUAAAAAAAAUAAGAAAUCAGGAAAAUUUAGGAUGUCAAUAGAUUUAAGAGCAGGAAAUAGAGUAAUCCAACAGCAGGUCUAUUAUAGCCUGGACUUUCUUUUCCUUCUUUAUUACCUAAGGCUUAAUCUGUGAUAAUAGUUGAUUGAAAGGAUUGCUUUUUUUAUUAUCCACUUGUAUGACAAUAUUGGGAAAGGUUUCCUUUCCUAGUGCCUAUACAUAAUAAUGCUCAACCUGUAAAAAGAUAUCAGUGGAACAUUCUGCUACAGGGAAUGUUAAACAGUGCAACUUUGGGCCAAUAUUUUGUGCAAAAACCACUAGAAAUAAUUCAUAUGGUAUUUCCUCAAUCCAUUACUUAUCAUUGUACGGGUAUCAUUGUAUCAUUUUGUUGGCUGAUUCUGACACACAAUCAGAGCAAUAUUUAAGGACACACAAAGAAUUAUGCCAUGCCAGGAGUGACAGGUUGUUCCUGAAAAACGACAGAGAGGAGGUUCUAUUGACUAUUUGGAUUAUAAAAUAAGAAAACAAAAUUCAACCACAAAAGAUACAGAUCAGAAGGGAUUAGUUGCAAACCCUUACUGAUUUUCAAAAAUUAAUAGGAGGUAUUAACUUGCUAUGGCCCAUCAAUGGAUUAACUACUCUAGAGUUAAAUAAUUUGUUUCAGACAUCACCAGGAGAUUCAAACUUAGACAGUCCAAGACAGCUGUUAGUGAGUUUUUGAUCAGUGUCUUACCCAGCUAUCUCUCAAAUAAUUGAUAUUGGACCAUUAUAUUUUUAGCAUGAUUUAAAGGUACAACAUCUGAGCAGUAUUACUCUAUUUUAAUAUUCUAAGACAAUCUGGCUACUUCACACAAAAAUUUAUAAGAUAGAUGUAUUUUAUGGCUUUUUCUACUCAAGCUAUUUUCUCAUGGUCUCUCUUAGACUCUCUCCCCAUGGCUAAGCCAUGUACUCUCUGGCUGGCAGGAAGUUCAACCCUGUUCUCUGCUCUGCUCAGCUGCUGGCUGUCAAGAUUUCUUUAUUGACACUUCAGGGAACAGUUGGAUAGCUGCUGUUUAUACAAGAUUGAGACAUUAGAGUCUCUAAAUACAGACUGCAACCAUAUAUAAGGGAGACAGAAAACAAUAUUUGAAUCUUCACACAGUGUACAAUAAGAUGCCUACAAUUAACAAAGGAAGCAAAUAAAGUCAACUUUAGUAGAAAAGAGAAGAAAGAUGCAUAUGUGGAUCACAUAGAUCCCAAACUUGAUUGUAUUUUGGUUAUACUGCUUUUAAUUCAUCCUCCUAUUGGGCUCAUUAUGCAAAGGACAUGGUAUUAUGGAAUGGAUUUUCUUAGCACACAAAAUAAAAUAUUAAAGAUUUACAGUGAGAAAAAUUUGGGGGGUUACAACAUUAUUAUUUUUAUUUUUACUUAUGUUUAUAAUAUAACUACUUGCC
ensembl:lncRNA